UGGGGAAUAUUGGACAAUGGGGGCAACCCUGAUCCAGCCAUGCCGCGUGAGUGAUGAAGGCCUUCGGGUUGUAAAGCUCUUUUGGCGGGGACGAUGAUGACGGUACCCGCAGAAUAAGCCCCGGCUAACUUCGUGCCAGCAGCCGCGGUAAGACGAAGGGGGCUAGCGUUGUUCGGAAUUACUGGGCGUAAAGCGAGUGUAGGCGGUUGCCGUAGUCAGGUGUGAAAGCCUUGAGCUCAACUCAAGAAAUGCACUUGAUACUGGGUGACUAGAGGACCGGAGAGGAUAGUGGAAUUCCCAGUGUAGUGGUGAAAUACGUAGAGAUUGGGAAGAACACCAGUGGCGAAGGCGGCUAUCUGGACGGUUACUGACGCUAAGACUCGAAAGCGUGGGGAGCAAACAGGAUUAGAUACCCUGGUAGUCCACGCCGUAAACGAUGGGUGCUAGACGUUGGCGAGCUUGCUCGUCAGUGUCGCAGCUAACGCGUUAAGCACCCCGCCUGGGGAGUACGGCCGCAAGGUUGAAANUCAAAUGAAUUGACGGGGUCAUAGCUGUUUCCU
rnacentral:rRNA from 1 species